rnacentral:rRNA from 1 species
CCUCUAUGUUUAAGACCUCUUUCUUUUGGCGUGACCAUAUCCCCAAGACAAUGAGACCAAAAUAGGGGGGCUGCGGAGGAGUCGCCGCCGGCGUGCGUCGCCCCCGCUUGUAAGGCAGCUCGGACCGUCAUCGAGGGCCUCCGGGGCCGCGGGGCCGUCGUAGGUGGGACACUCGGCGAGGGCGAAGCGACCGAAGCAGGAUCGGGCGUCGACGCAGUUCCGUAUGCUCCAGUUAGGUAAGUAAAUAGCGGUUAGGUACAAAGAAGAGGGAUCUGGUCAGGAAGUAAAGAACCCAGAACGUAACGGGCUUCAUAACAAGACUAAACGAUUGACUCCUCCACUUUCUAGCUACCCUCCAACCUUAAAGCCUUGGGAUCCCGCACCAGCAAACUACGACAACCAACUAUGGCGCUACUCUGCCUUAUGAAACUAAAAUCCACACUACAUACCCAAGUUUAACGCUAGAACGCGCAGAUUACCAGGGCUGAAGCCAAAACGCUCUAGAGAAUCCAGACCCAGUAACAAAACAACCUAUAUAUAUAUAUAUACCUGAGGAGAAAAUAUGAGGGUCCUCAUACAUGAGGGUGGGAUAAUUAACCGGGUUAGUUACCUAAUUAAUUAAUUUUAUAAUCAUUUAAUACAACGUACGCGUUUGUUGGAGGUUCUAACAUCCAUUGGCCACGUACAAUAGGUUACCUUUACGACCAAAACAAUGCCUUCACUCUACGUGAAACUUGCGUUUGCCAUAUAUGGAAAGUAAACCAAAACAAUGAUAUAUGGGAAACAUGGAGAAGUCUAACCCUUGCUUCGCACAUUUUAUAUCCGGAAAAAGUAGAUGUAGUACGAUCGUCAUGUAUGGAGUAUCCACGGGUUGCGUGUACGUUCUGUAUAUGAUGUAAAAUAAAUAUUUCUCCAGACAUGACGGAAAAAUUCAUCAAAUACGACUUGAAAAACUUCCUCAUAUAUGAGUGUUUUAAAUUCCUCAUACAUGACGGUAAAAACUUCCUCAUAUAUUACGGUAAAAAAACUUCCUCAUAUAUGGUCGUUUUAUGAGUCUUCCCAUAUAUGACGGUAAACAAAUUCUUCAUAUAUGACGUAACAAAAACCUUAUCACACGACGUCAAAGAAAGACUUCUAAAGUGGUUUCGUCAUAUAUAUGAUGUAGUUUUCCUCAUGUAUAUACGUAAGUAGGUAAGCGUCUUGUUAAUUAAUCAUAUAAGUAGACUUUAUUUUCCAUUGAAAUAUUUUUUUAGUCAAGUAUACGUAGUCCUCAUGUAUAUGUAGUAGUUAAAAAAACGUGCCUUGUAUAUGCAGUAGUAGUUAUUCUUUGUACUCUAGUGAGCAGCACGUACGUAGUUUGAAGUGGUACCGGCGAGGCGGCGUGUACCGGCAGCCGCCGCCGCAUUACAUAGGUUUCUGUAUGUGGGACGUAAAUGUUUAAUCUAGCCUACCGUAAUUAAGUAACUUCACGUGGAUUUUUGUUAGCCUACCGUAGGGAUUAACAAAUGGUCUUAAACCUUAAUUUAUUUAAGUAUGUUUGGUACUUGUCUUCUUUUUAGGGGUUUAGAUUUAAACCCUGAUAAACGUACACCGUAUACCCGUAUCUUCCGUAGGAGGACAAACUAACUGGGAUACUUUUAAUCUGCUCUUACUCAACGGUUUACAUGCUCCUCUAUGUUGGGACAGCACGGUGAAUAGUCUAGACACCACCAAGAACCGUAUUGGACUUGCUUCCUUAUUCUUCUUAUAGACAGCCUCAAUUACUUCGAGAUGCUCUUAACAACGGCACUCCUUAAUACAUACAUAUACCAUCACUCUGUUUAACUAGUCCAUGGACCGUAUACUAACCACCUGAAGUUUUCGUCGAUUGACGCCAACCUCUUGAACCUCGUCCUAAGUGUAGUUGCCCUUUUUCUUGUUCCGCGGCGACCUCACGUGGAAGCUAGAAUAAAGUGGGUACCGGUGGCACGGCUUUUCGUUGGACCAGUCAGUGCAGUAGUGUUAACCGCCACUCUUCUACCUGGAGGGCUAGUUUGACAAGAACCGGCGACGGCAUCGGCAGGUAGGUACACUCGGCGGCGGCGUCAACCUACGGUUACUUUGUCCUCCUCUCUACCUAUUCGCCAGUUUACCUAUUCCACCAGACUGCCGUUGAUAUUUCUCUUCGGUCUUUUUAGCCUCAUUACUGGUGCUAAAGCCAACUCUAAAACGUACAUAAAAAAGGGAGAUUUAUUUCGCUUAAUCUAUCGUGCUCCCUUACUCGCUCGCACACUGUGCGCGCAUCCUCAUACAUGAGGAUCCUCAUGAUUGGAUAAAAGGAUAUAUAUAUACACACACACACACACACACACACACACACACACACACACAUAUAUCCUAACAAAACGACCUAUAUUAUCCAAGUCUAAUGCCAAACCUCCCAAAAUCUAGACAAAGUGAAUGACGUACGAAGCCAAACCGAUUUUAUUGUUGAACGACCCGAAAGCCCGAAAACUAUGGUGUUAUCGUCUACAGGUUACCAAUAACCGUCCCCACAUUUAAGACGUUUAUAACGGAUGGACAGGUGCUUGUGAACCAGUCACUAAGACCACAGGACAUCCUAAGAUUCGAGCUUUGUCCCAGUCCCAAACCUUGUUAUACACUUACAGUCAAAGACGUUUACACAAACUGGUCUUUUUUACCUCAGUGUGUCUAUCGGUCACCGUCCAACCUUGUUUCCUUCGUCCUUUUAGUUCCCCGUUAUCAAUAAACACACAUUUGUUGUCCAGUAAGUCCCUAAGUGGUCGAGUGUCUGAAUGAUAUCCAGUUAUUAAUUAAGGCCCGACAGGAAUAAUUGGUCACCUAUGGGAACCGACCAUCUAUAGUCGUACUAAUUUUUUUUUAUGGCGUCCCCAAAGGGGAUGACAAACCGGCAAUUUUUUUUUCGUCGUACUAACAAUAGGAUCUGUAACCCUAACUAGUGUGGAUAUAACAAGUAUAUCAUUAACAAAAAUCGUUAAAGACGAAAAUUACGAUAAACGUGGAUCCUUCAAUUGUCGCACCUAAUAAAUAUGAACACAUUAAAACUGAACGUCUUUGAAGAUUUGACGAAUAAAAGACUUACAGUGAACAGGAUCGGGUAGCUUAAUGUAAGCUCAUCUAGAGAAGGGACGUAUGUAAGCAUUGCCGUACAAGAUGAUCUGCUUAAGAAUGGUUGUCAAGUCAAUAACCCGCACGACUGAAUAAACAACGUUCGUCCGGGACGAUAGACGGUCGAUAUAAACUAGAAAUGAUAAAUCGAACCGUUGUCCUGAUACGAAUAGUGAUAGUACAAUAGUACAUAGAAAAAAGAGUCAUUGACAGGAUUUUGAGUACUGAUGGAAGCAGUAACACACGACUUACAUCAACCCUCGAAUGUACCGAUACGACGGUUCACUAAACAGUGUAGUACCUUAACAUCUUUUAUCGGGGAUGUCUUAAUGUUUCUCGCCCUUAUUCCUUCGACCGUUUGAAUCACGAAGUACCAUAAAGUCAUCUUUCCUUUAUCUUCUCUUAAGAGGCAGGUUCUCCCUACCGUAACUAAAUUUCUUUCUCUGAAUGGAAGCCUUUAGCAUAACGUGAAUAGAUGUUCUAAACCCCUACGCCGAGUUUCACGGUGUUCACUGUUAACGAUGUAGAUAACACAAGACAGUGGCAAAAAUGGAAGCAGUUAGAGUACGUUUUUUACUAUCUGCUUGUUAGCGAUGACAAACGUACAAGAACCGACCUUUUCAGCUUCUUUGUGGAUCCGGAAACUUCCUACAGUAGGACCAAAGAAUGCUCGAAUAAGUAUUUUUCCUAGGACGACGACCAGUCUUUUAGUUCGUCUCCCUUCAUAUACUAGUUGUUUUUCUUGAGUAAAAUGAACCCCUCGCUCAACAUGAACGUUGUGAACCAAAACUGGAAUUACACGUGGUAGGAAUGUUCGGGAACCAACUUUGUUAUUUCUUUAAGUUCUAAUGAGUAUUACGCGAAGGAGUCCAACGGACCUUAAAACAGUUACUACCCGACGCGUGAAGUGAGACAGACGUUAAGUUCGGGGUAGUAUAACGUCGUCCACGAGAGAAAAACCGACCAUUCAAAGAGUUUCACUUUAAAGAAGGUCUACUGCCACUCUUCCGAACCAUAGUCCUCAAACUACACUGUGGUUCUGUCGACCUUCUCCAAUCGUUAGUUUACAAUCUCGACAUACUCGUUUUGGCACAACAUGUCAGCGUUGGUUGUUUACCCUUACUUCGACUUCCCUCGAGUCGACCACACGGAUUAGUUUCCUAGAGGCAUUUUCGUCUUCGGUUGAGCCUCCUUGGAGCACAACACGUAGUAGGUCGUAGGUUUGUCGGUCUAAGGUUAGGGAGAUGUAGUUGUCCACAAGGUUAAGUGUUACCACGACUCGUGAGUUUCGGUGUGUUCGUCUAACCAUCGGUCUUUUCAGAAGUCUCACUGUUACCACCGGUACUUUUGCUGUUUUGUUCGUCAGUCUCACCUCCAUCUCAACUAUGAUCAUGUUUCCUACCAAACGUACUACCGUGUUUCAGGAACAGCUCUUCAAGGUCCGGGUCGCUGUUUGGACCAUAAGGUUGUCUUCUCUUUGGAGAAGGUAGCGUACGAUCAAGCUCACUUAACUCUCUACCAUUAGAGUCAUUGUCACCACUAGGGUCACAGAGUAGGAGGUACUACCUACGGUACUUAUUUUAACUGUUCCUGUUCCAUUUCCGUCGAAACCUCUUCGCUUCUUUUAACUUUCCACUACAACGAUCCUUCCAUGUACACUACCUACUACUGCUGGAUGAACUCUCCCUUAAUCUUGUACCACAUCUCAACCGACAACUCCUACUCUUCUAGUUCGUCCUCUCCUUGCUAACAUCAUACGUAGUUCUCCUAGUGGCAUUACGACUACCGCAACGUCUUUUACCACUGUUGUUACCACUAGUCUUACAAGGUCUCUGACGUUUUCUCCGACUUCAAGACCACCUGUAAUUUCUACUCGUAAGAGAUUGGUUCUCUUUACUACCAAAGCUCGUGUUCGGCGUCGUGGGAUCACUACGUGGUUUCGUGUCGCACUCGGUGGUACUACGAGUCGAACCACCAUCUGUACUUCUUGUAUUUUACGGAGCUGGGCUUCCAACUACCCAGUCUUAACUACAUCUUGGAUGAACCAUCUUAAGAGCCAUGCUUGUAUCCGUGCACACUGACCUCUACAUCGACGAGACCUGACAACUACUCUGUAUAGGUCCAGAAUUACAAACAUGGGUCUACAAAAACCUUGGGUAGUUGACUAACGUUGCCUCUAAACAAACACCCAGAGAUGGUCCCGCUCAUAAAAAAAAGAAAAGACUAUCUUCGUAGACUACAAAACUAAAAUACGCGACACCGUUUCAAAGAUUAAGGUCAUCGGGUUAAGAAGUGAACGCCUUAAAUUCUGAACUAACCUAUAUUUUUCAGAGUAUUAACAUG